rnacentral:rRNA from 1 species
AGAGUUUGAUCCUGGCUCAGGAUGAACGCUAGCUACAGGCUUAACACAUGCAAGGUCGAGGGGAAACGACAUCGAAAGCUUUGCUUUUGAUGGGCGUCGACCGGCGUACGGGUGAGUAACGCGUAUCCAACCUGCCCACCACUUGGGGAUAACCUUGCGAAAGUAAGACUAAUACCCAAUGAUAUCUCUAGAAGACAUCUGAAAGAGAUUAAAGAUUUAUCGGUGAUGGAUGGGGAUGCGUCUGAUUAGCUUGUUGGCGGGGUAACGGCCCACCAAGGCAACGAUCAGUAGGGGUUCUGAGAGGAACGGUCCCCCACAUUGGAACUGAGACACGGUCCAAACUCCUACGGGAGGGAGCA